GCGGGCGUAGCUCAGUGGUAGAGCGCCACCUUGCCAAGGUGGAUGUCGAGGGUUCAAAUCCCUUCGCCCGCUCCA
rnacentral:tRNA from 3 species